GGCUAGCCCCGAUUGCAGCGGAAAUCCUAUUAUAGUUGUCAGGUUUUUUUACCUGACAGCUAUAAUAGAUUGAAGCGAAAAGCGGGAAUUUUG
rnacentral:sRNA from 26 species